rnacentral:rRNA from 1 species
UACGUAGGGUGCAGGCGUUAAUCGGAAUUACUGGGCGUAAAGCGUGCGCAGGCGGUUUGUUAAGUCAGAUGUGAAAGCCCCGGGCUUAACCUGGGAACUGCGUUUGAAACUGGGAGACUUGAGUGUGGCAGAGGGGGGUGGAAUUCCACGUGUAGCAGUGAAAUGCGUAGAUAUGUGGAGGAACACCAAUGGCGAAGGCAGCCCCCUGGGUCAACACUGACGCUCAUGCACGAAAGCGUGGGGAGCAAACAGG